rnacentral:rRNA from 1 species
UUGGUGACCAGCGGAGGGAUCAUUACCGAGUUUACAACUCCCAAACCCAAUGUGAACGUUACCAAACUGUUGCCUCGGCGGGAUCUCUGCCCCGGGUGCGUCGCAGCCCCGGACCAAGGCGCCCGCCGGAGGACCAACCAAAACUCUUAUUGUAUACCCCCUCGCGGGUUUUUUUAUAAUCUGAGCCUUCUCGGCGCCUCUCGUAGGCGUUUCGAAAAUGAAUCAAAACUUUCAACAACGGAUCUCUUGGUUCUGGCAUCGAUGAAGAACGCAGCGAAAUGCGAUAAGUAAUGUGAAUUGCAGAAUUCAGUGAAUCAUCGAAUCUUUGAACGCACAUUGCGCCCGCCAGUAUUCUGGCGGGCAUGCCUGUCCGAGCGUCAUUUCAACCCUCGAACCCCUCCGGGGGGUCGGCGUUGGGGAUCGGCCCUGCCUUGGCGGUGGCCGUCUCCGAAAUACAGUGGCGGUCUCGCCGCAGCCUCUCCUGCGCAGUAGUUUGCACACUCGCAUCGGGAGCGCGGCGCGUCCACAGCCGUUAAACACCCAACUUCUGAAAUGUUGACCUCGGAUCAGGUAGGAAUACCCGCUGAACUUAAGCAUAUCAAUAAG